rnacentral:rRNA from 1 species
GAUGAACGCUAGCGGCAGGCCUAAUACAUGCAAGUCGGACGGGAUCCAUUGAUAGCUUGCUAUCAAUGGUGAGAGUGGCGCACGGGUGCGUAACGCGUGAGCAACCUGCCUCCAUCAGGGGGAUAGCCUCUCGAAAGAGAGAUUAACACCGCAUAAUAUCAACAGUUCGCAUGUUCAGUUGAUUAAAUAUUUAUAGGAUUGAGCUGGGCUCGCGUGACAUUAGCUAGUUGGUAGGGUAACGGCUUACCAAGGCGACGAUGUCUAGGGGCUCUGAGAGGAGAAUCCCCCAAACUGGUACUGAGACACGGACCAGACUCCUACGGGAGGCAGCAGUAAGGAAUAUUGGUCAAUGGGCGGAAGCCUGAACCAGCCAUGCCGCGUGCAGGAUGACUGCCCUAUGGGUUGUAAACUGCUUUUGUCCAGGAAUAAACCUAAAUACGAGUAUUUAGCUGAAUGUACUGGAAGAAUAAGGAUCGGCUAACUCCGUG